AGAGUUUGAUCAUGGCUCAGGACGAACGCUGGCGGCGUGCCUAAUACAUGCAAGUUGAACGCUUGAUUUUCACCGAAGCUUGCUUCACCGAGAAUCAAGAGUAGCGAACGGGUGAGUAACGCGUGGGUAACCUACCUAUCAGCGGGGGAUAACUAUUGGAAACGAUAGCUAAUACCGCAUAACAAUGUUGGAUGCAUAUUCGACAUUUGAAAGUACUAACUGGUACACUGAGAGGUGGACCCGCGUUGUAUUAGCUAGUUGGUAGUGUAAUGGACUACCAAGGCGAUGAUACAUAGCCGACCUGAGAGGGUGAUCGGCCACAUUGGGACUGAGACACGGCCCAAACUCCUACGGGAGGCAGCAGUAGGGAAUCUUCGGCAAUGGACGAAAGUCUGACCGAGCAACGCCGCGUGAGUGAAGAAGGUUUUCGGAUCGUAAAACUCUGUUGUUAGAGAAGAACGUUGCAUAGAGUGGAAAAUUAUGCAAGUGACGGUAUCUAACCAGAAAGGGACGGCUAACUACGUGCCAGCAGCCGCGGUAAUACGUAGAUCCCGAGCGUUGUCCGGAUUUAUUGGGCGUAAAGCGAGCGCAGGUGGUUUAAUAAGUCUGAUGUAAAAGGCAGUGGCUCAACCAUUGUGUGCAUUGGAAACUGUUAGACUUGAGUGCAGUAGAGGAGAGUGGAAUUCCAUGUGUAGCGGUGAAAUGCGUAGAUAUAUGGAGGAACACCGGUGGCGAAAGCGGCUCUCUGGACUGUCACUGACACUGAGGCUCGAAAGCGUGGGUAGCAAACAGGAUUAGAUACCCUGGUAGUCC
rnacentral:rRNA from 1 species